rnacentral:misc_RNA from 1 species
UCCAGAUUCACAUGGGAGAGAAAUCAGCACCAAUAACAUGAUUUUUGUGACGACAUCAACAAUUGGAAUGGGUAAUACAAAUUUUCAGCCACUGAAGGAACCUGUAAAGUUAUCCGAAGAAGACAUUCUUGGAGCCAAAAACUGGCAAAUGCAAAUAUUAAUUGAACAUGCUGCUGAGGGUGCCAGCGGAAGCAAUGGAAGGAAUGUGAAGAAUUCAAGAAAAGUGACUUCCACUACAUCUGUGAAUAAAAGAAAGCUGGAGGGAACCACCAACUUUACAGAGCAGGAAUUAAAUUACAAGGCC